UGGGGAAUAUUGCACAAUGGGCGCAAGCCUGAUGCAGCCAUGCCGCGUGUAUGAAGAAGGCCUUCGGGUUGUAAAGUACUUUCAGUCGGGAGGAAGGUGGUAAGGUUAAUAACCUUGGCAAUUGACGUUACCGACAGAAGAAGCACCGGCUAACUCCGUGCCAGCAGCCGCGGUAAUACGGAGGGUGCAAGCGUUAAUCGGAAUUACUGGGCGUAAAGCGCACGCAGGCGGUUGAUUGAGUCAGAUGUGAAAUCCCCGGGCUCAACCUGGGAACUGCAUCUGAUACUGGCAAGCUUGAGUCUCGUAGAGGGGGGUAGAAGUCCAGGUGUAGCGGUGAAAUGCGUAGAGAUCUGGAGGAAUACCGGUGGCGAAGGCGGCCCCCUGGACGAAGACUGACGCUCAGGUGCGAAAGCGUGGGGAGCAAACAGG
rnacentral:rRNA from 1 species